AUGCGGUGCCUCGUCGCGCUCCCGGCGGUCGCCGUCCCCAGCCGCGGCUCACAUCCUAACCUCAAACCCCGCCGCAGAAGCACUCUAGUAGCUAUCCUUGGGAGAUGCCGCUGCGGCCGCCGCCACCUCCUUGGUGCAUCCUCUGCCGCCGGCCUCCUCCAUCUCGUCAACCCCCCGUGCCUCGCCGCCCCAGCCAUCGACCCCGCCGUGAUGCUUGAACGGGUGCACCCAGCGAGGCCUGGCUGGUACGAGAAGCUUUACGCGACGGCCAUGGACAAGGGCAUGCAGUCUUAUGAAGCCGAGAUUGCGCAGUAUAAAUCGAAUCUCUUCUCCCAAUUGUCAGUUGCGGGGGAGAACAUUCUGGAGCUUGGCGUUGGAACAGGCCCCAACUUAAAGUACUAUGCAAGUGCUGAUGGUGUAAAUGUAACUGGGGUAGAUCCUAACAUGUACAUGGAGGAGUAUUCUAGAGCAGCAGCAAAUUCUGCCGGGCUUCCGCAAUCAAAUUUCACUUUCAGAAGAGGGGUCGCCGAAGCUUUGCCAGCAGAGGAUGAUUCCAUGGAUGCAGUUAUUGGUACAUUGGUGCUGUGUUCGGUAAAGGACACUGAUAUGGCAUUAAGAGAAAUAAAGAGAGUCCUAAAGCCCGGUGGUCUCUACCUAUUCAUUGAGCAUGUUGCUGCAGCAGACAUAUGUCCCUGUGCUGCUGUGCAUUGCUUGAUUUCCUGCUCAUUUUGUCCGCUCGUAGAUGGUUCCUUCCUCCAGUUCGUGCAAGGUGCCCUUGAUCCUCUGCAGCAAUUUGUCGCUGACGGGUGCCACCUCACCAGGAAAACAGCUGAAAACAUCAAGGAAGCCGGGUUCUCGAGCUUGAGCCUGAACGCGGUGCGCCUGUCAUCUGCAUAUAUCGUUAGCCCCCAUGUUUAUGGUGUAGCCUAUAAAUGA
rnacentral:rRNA from 1 species